rnacentral:tRNA from 1 species
GGGGCCGUAGCUCAGUUGGGAGAGCGCCUGAAUGGCAUUCAGGAGGUCGUGGGUUCGACUCCCGUCGGCUCCACCA